rnacentral:misc_RNA from 1 species
UCUUUGUUGAAGCUGUUAGUAGCCUUCAUAAGAUCACUCAAUUUCAUUUUAGAAAUCGAUUUCUCAAACAUAGAAACCUUAAUGCCCUUUAUUCCCUUUAAACUCUUUGCCCAUUUAUUUCCUUCAGGGUCAUCAUCCUUCUUCUUCUUAAUCUUAGACAUCUUUCGGUAAUAGAAGAACAUGCCAAUACCCACAAUUAAUGCAGCAACAGUCACCCCACCAAUGGCAGCCCCUGCAAUAACCCCAGUGUGAGGACUCUUUGAAGAUCCAGGGCAGGCAUCCAAAACCCCCCCACAUAGUCCAGGAUUAUUUGCAUAAUCUUCUCUUGAAAAGGAGGCAUUUAGGAAUGAUGGCACAGGUCCAGUAAGAAGAUUAUUAGCUACACU